rnacentral:rRNA from 1 species
UGCAUGUCUCAGUACUUGCCGACCUAAGGCGAAACCGCGAAUGGCUCAUUAAAUCAGUCAUGAUUCAUUGGAUGUUGUAAAAUCCUUACUCGGAUAACUGUGGUAAUUCUAGAGCUAAUACGUGCAACUAAGCUCCGACCCCGGGCGCUUAGGCGGUCGGGGGAAGGGCGCAUUUAUUAGACCAAAAAUCGGGUGGUAGCGAGAUUGCGGCCCGGGGCUUCGGCCCCACCGCAUAGCUAAUAUCCAUUACGGUUACGUGGUGACUCUGGAUAACUACAGCCGAGCGCUAAGGUCUUCGUACCGGCGCCGUAUCCUUCAAGUGUCUGCCUUAUCAGCUCUCGAUUGUAGGUUAUUCGCCUACAAUGGCUGUAACGGGUAACGGGGAAUCAGGGUUCGAUUCCGGAGAGGGAGCCUGAGAAACGGCUACCACAUCUAAGGAAGGCAGCAGGCACGCAAAUUACCCAAUCCCGGCUCGGGGAGGUAGUGACGAAAAAUAACGAUGGGGGACUCUUCCGAGGCCUCCCAAUCGGAAUGAGUCCAAUUUAAAUACCUGGACGAGGAUCCAUUGGAGGGCAAGUCUGGUGCCAGCAGCCGCGGUAAUUCCAGCU